rnacentral:lncRNA from 1 species
CUUUAUAUUCAACAUAGUUUUAUAAAACCCUAAUCAAUCAAAAGGUGUGAUUCUAUAAUACUAUUCAUAUAUUUAUUUAUUUAUUUAUUUUGCUUUAAUGUUGGCAUGCCAUUCGGGUUGUUCUUUCGGCUCAACGUUCAUGGAUAUGGAUGAUGGAUAUGAUUUGUUUGAGAAUGGCCCCUCACUCAAAAUUGUUUAAUUUAAAUUGAUGAUUAAAUUUCCAAUUAAUAAUCAAUUAUUGUUUUUUCCCAGAUUCUAAAAUAAUUAUUUUUUCUCAGAUUCCUCAUAUUAAAUUUUCACACCAUCAUACAAGAUUUUUCUCACCAUUAUAAUAUAAGUCAAACAAUAAUUUCAUGAUGACGGCUAUUUUCUCUAUACAUAAUUUUUUGAUUCAUUUUUCCUUGAGUGAGGGGCCAUUCACUCAAAAUUGAUUAUUAAAUUUCCAAUUAAUAAUCACUUUCCAAUCUAAUGAGUUUAAUGAGUAAAAUCACUAUUAUUAUAAAAACUAGGUUUAGGAAUGGUAUAUUAGAUAUUUUAGUGGGUUUACUGAGUAAAUUUUAAAAUUUUAAAAUUUAAGAGUGGAUUUAUUUAGUAAAUAGGUUGAUUGAGUAAAUUGGUAAGUUCAAAUAGCUGCACCCUAAAAAUAAUAGGAUUCUUUUUAAAAGAUCGUGUUCAAAGAAGUCCGGCUCGGCUCAAUACCGAACUCUAAUUUGAAUGAGCUUUACUCAGACGAGUCUGAGUAAUAGCUUGGCAUUAUCGAUGCACCACUGCCGCAGCAUCAAGAGCAAUGCGAAUAUCCAAUGAAAAAGUAACAACUACGGCGUCAACGCCUAAAAUUGACCCCGUCUUCUCUUUUGCCAAGAUCAAAACAAUUAUAACGCGAUUUAAAUCUAUCUUCAAUUAAUUUUUCUUUCAAUUAUUUAGAUGUCGAUUGUCAUUCCAUCCCAUUUGAGACCUAUCAUUCGAGUUGUGCCAUGAUAAAGCUAUCUAGAUAGGAUUUUUACUAUUUUCUAAUUGUAAGUAUAAAAAUUGUAAUUUAAUAUUUUUAAAAAAAUCUUAAUUAACCGAUGACGAUCCAUGGUUAUCUAAGUUAUAAUUGAGCUAUUAAAAAUCUGGUUUCAUGUGUGCAUUUACUUUCUACAUUGUUCAUAUUGUGCAAGUGCAUGAUCAAACCCUCAUUUGUCAUAUUCAUGUAUAUAAAUGUACUCGUAUUCAAUGUGACAGUAUUUGACGUUAUAUAUAACCGAAUGAUACAAUGUGUAUAAUGUAAGGUCGAUAUUCUUUACUUCUAUCAUGUUAGUGAACUACCACCAAAGCACUAAAUUCUUAUACGUUUCUUGCUUAUCAUUUUUUUUUUUAUGUCUUGUGCUUUUUUGGUAAUUGAACUCUAUGUUCAACUUGAAUUAUUGUGAAAUAUAUAUAGACCAUUAAAAAGAACAAACAAAAUUCUACCAGCCUUGGCCGAAAUCCAGUACCCUAAAAAAUAAAAAAAAAUAAAAAAAUAGUGUAUUAGAUUUCGUAUUUUUCUUAACUUUAUUUAGUUCCAUUUGCGUGAUUUUAAAAUAUGGACGUAUGCACUUUAGAAGUUAGAAAUAUAUAUAUAAAACCUUCGCAUUCAUUAUAUGGUCCUUACUCCUUAGUCUUAUUCGGAAAAUUACUGAGCAAACUCCAGAGCUAAGUAUAGAUGUUAAGUAUCCGUAACUAGUGUAAAAAGAAUUAUGGUUAAUUUUUCCAUUUGGGUUUUGAAUUAUACUAAAAAAGAUAUCUGAUGUUUAUCAAUUAAAGAAUUUAAUAUUUUACUACUUGGUCAAUUUUUCCACUUGAGAUCUGAACUGUACUAAAAAAGAUAUUUGAUAUUUCGUUAGUGAUCUACAUUUGCCCUUAAUCUAUGGUGUUGUUAAUGGUACAAAAAAAUAUUCUUAUUGUGAGAAAUACUACAAGUGCCCUUGAUUUGUAGUGUUGUUAAUGGAUAGAUAAAAUUUUCUUGUUGUGAGAAUUUUUUAUUUUUUAUUUUAAAUACAUGAUGUGUAUUGCUAUUCAAUGUAACCAUCAAUUUACCUGUAUAUAUAUAUUUUUUCCCAAUGAAUGCGCACAUAACAAAGUGCUGUUGACUUAUUUGGUCAUCGUGAUAUCUUUGACGUGCAAGAGAUUUUUCUCCUCCUCAAGGGGGAGUUUUAUAAGAAUUUAUAGUGGGUGUGAUUAGCUUCAAUCUAUUUCGUACUUAACACGAGACCAUGAUGGUUCUGGCUUGGGCUACAGCAUUUCUAGCCUGCUCUACUUGUAGAAUGAUAGGAGUGCACUUAAAAGGCCUUUUUUACAAACUUGGGUUCAAGGUGGAGCAGCCCGAAGUUAAGUCAAGCUAAGUCCAAUAACGUGCCAACAGCGCAAACCCAAGGCUGUGCUUAUACUGUUUUAUUGAACGACAUUAAUGUUAUUUGAUAACUAAAUGCAUAAUUAUAAAUUUGAUUUGAGUAAGAUUAUUGUAUAUAGCUAGAACUAUAAAUUCUUUAUACAUACUGUUUUUAUAUGAUUUGCUAUCACUGAUAUAAGGACGAGGCUACUUGAAUCUACUAAAAUACUCAGUAAACCCAUAAACAAAAUUUAAAAAUUUAUUUUUUACUUUAUGAACCCACCGGUUUGCCCAAUAUACCCUAGUUAAAAUAUAAAUUUUUAAUAACUAUUAAAAUAUAAUUGAAAAGUGAAACCAUCGAUGAUUUAUGUACUGUUAAUUUUUGAAUGGUUCAUAAAAACAAAAAACACAAACGAAAUUUCUUUUACUGCAAAUUCAUGGCAUGAACUUACUUUUAUUUUCGUCAGUUCGAUACCUGCAGAGCUGCACCCAUGGGCAAGAAGUUGAAAAUUUUGGUAAUUUGGCUCACUAUCUAUCAAUCGCAAUGCACCGAUGAUUUGCAACAAUUAAAUCUUGAAAUAUGAUUAUUAUACAAAACGAAAAUGUACAACAACUCAUGAAUUAGAGUUAUUUUUUUUUUAGAGAAGAUAAUUCGGGUUUGUAAGAUAGGGUCUUUUUAAAA